AACGUAGGAGGCAAGCGUUAUCCGGAGUUACUGGGCGUAAAGAGUGCGUAGGCGGACCUGUAAGUGGGUGGUGAAAGCGCCCGGCUAAACCGGGCGAGGUUCAUUCAGACUGCAGGCCUAGAGGCGGAUAGAGGGGUGCGGAAUUCCGGGUGUAGCGGUGAAAUGUGUAGAGAUCCGGAGGAACACCAGUGGUGCAAACGGCGCCCUGGGUCCGAACUGACGCUGAAGCACGAAAGCGUGGGGAGCGAACGGG
rnacentral:rRNA from 1 species